GCAAAAGUAACAGGCGAUGAA
ensembl:piRNA 21ur-2480 ncRNA